CCAACAUCCUUGAUGCAAUAAAAAGAGUUUGUUGCACCAUUCAGAUCCCGCAAGACAUUUUGAUAACUUCAAAGGCCGAAGGCUUUAUUUCUGACAUAAUGUUGGAGGUCAAAUCUGAUUGCCACCCCUAUUUUUUUUUUCUUUUUAAGCCAGGGCUCAGGAGUACUUUUGCAGCAUUCAGACAAGGUCGGAGCGAUCAAGUUUAUAACAGAAUAUGGACGGAUGUCCCUGCCUCCGUCAAUCAGCCAAUUACAAGAUCUGUUCUUUUAUCUGCAUCCUUAUAUGCCUUGGAGGUGCCUUCGAUCAAUGGAGACAACUGAAAACGAAAAAAAAUUGACGAUGCAUGCCAAAAUUGCAGGAUUUCUCCUCGACAGAUGUGAUAUAAAACUUUCGUGGGAAAUCCCUACGUGAAUGACAGCUCAUAAUAAUGGAGACUCACCCGCUGUUCCUGCGUGGCCACAAAGGUCUGGAAGCCAGGGGCAACGCCAAAGCCCAGCUCGUGCACGAAGGGGGGCUCGGCCUGGCUGUGGAUCUGGACUCGGACUCCCGCUUCGAAUGCUGUGUCCUCUGCAAGGGAUACAAAUGUAUCUUCUUCACAUUCAGAAGGAGACAGACCACCUAAUGUUAGCUUUGAUUUUGAGUUGAAUCUGUACUUUCUAGCAUGCCUAGCGGCAUUUCGCAAAUCAGUGUCAAGAACCAGAAGUUUCUUCUUAAAUGAGUCUUUGCUUCUUUUUCCCCUGUGGUUUAGUGUUAGUCGUUAGUCGAGAUCCUUAUCCACCAUCCGCACAAUCUUUCGUUGAAAUCUCUCGUCAAUUUUUCUUUUCCGUCUACAUUUAGGGAGGUUAGCCACAGUGCCAUGGACUUUACACUUAUUGAUGACACUGCGCACGGUAGACAGAGGAACAUUCAGGUCUUUGGAGAUGGACUUGUAGCUUUGAGAAUGCCCAUGCUUCCUCACAAUUUUGCCUCUCAAGUCCUCAGACAGUUUUUGGUCUUCUUUCUUUUCUCCAUGGUUAAUGUGGUACACACAAGGACACAGGACAGAGGCUGAGUCAACUUUAAUCCAUUUUAACUGGCUGCAAGUGUGAUUUAGUUAUUGCCACCUCCUGUUAUGUGCCACAGGUAAGUAACAGGU